rnacentral:rRNA from 1 species
CUGAAUAAUGCUUCAAAUUCUUCCUAUAUGCUACUUCGAGUGUUGUUCUUUCGUUUGGUCCUUGGUCUUCAAGUUGAGUCUUCCAUUUCCAUGGAGAUAAUUGCCUUUUGGUUGUGGCUCACACAAGGGAAUGGCCAAGUUGGUUACCUUCAGCACAUAUACUCUCUUGGUGACAACCAUUUUCGCGCAAUUGUUUCUUCUGCAAAACGUUUUCUGGAAGUUCUCCAUUUUGCAUUCGGUGGUUCAGAGGCCAGAUCUAUAGCAAGAAGUGACUUUCAGAACCAAGCUAUUGAAGGAAUUUCUCUCUACCUCAAUACUAUCUGUUAUGAGGCCUUAGAAGAUCUUCGAGAAAGGAUAGAGAUGAAUUUUGUCCGUAAUAAGAUGACAUACCUGCGCCAAGAAGCCUAUGGACAGUCCAGGACUGAUCGGGUUCCUACUGCAAGCUCGAAACACCUUCUUACCAAGAUCAAGGCUUUGUAUGCUAACAAUCCGAAGCAUCAUGGAGAAGGCACAAGUUCUAGAAAUAUCUGUGUUCAAACAAGUCAAAUGCGUCAUGGAGAAGGCUCAAAUUCAAGAAAUAUCCAUCCUCAAACAAGUCGUAUGCUCCACCAUGAUACAGAGGACGAAGUAUAUGAUUAUCAGCCAACCUCCCAUUUGAUCACGCAAGACCUAUCUGAUGUUCCACCUGAUGAGAGAACUUUGUUUGUGACAUUUUCUAAUGGCUAUCCACUGACCAAGGAUGAACUACACGAAUUUUUUAUGAGGCACUAUGGAGAUAUUGAAGAAAUAAGUGUAGAGGAGCCAAUCGAAAGUAGGCCACCACUGUACGCACACGUUGCAUUUUACUCACAGAUGACACUCUUCCGUGUUCUAGACGGGAAUAUGAGAGUUAAGUUCAUGACCAGGGGAAAACAUCUAUGGGCUCGACAGUAUGUGCCAAAGAAGAAGAAG